AAUGCAGAAAAAAGAAAUGUUAGCCUGACCCCAUUCCCAUUAUACAUGUCUAGCUGUGUAAUCUUGCUGAUGCUGAAGACGACUUUCAAUGACAACUCACAAAGAUAUCCCACUUCAAGCUCAUUGCCAAGCAUCUAUUUAGUCGAAUGAUUAAUGAGCAACAACUGCUACCCCUUUCUAUGAAUUAUGAGUCAACUGACGCUAUGAAAACUUUGUUUACCUGGACUCAUUUCACUGCUUUUCAAAGAUGAACGGGUUAGCUUGCUAUGUUAUAUUAACUUGCAGCAUAGGUUGAAUGGCAUUAGCCAGAAAACUACGAAUAGGUAGAUAAUAAUGAAACAGCGUGAUGCAGUAUAGCGGUGCUGUAAUGUCAGUGAAGUUACACAGCUGUGAGACAGACACUGCUGCAAGGCCAGCUACUCUGUCCUAUCCUGCCUGCAACACCGAGAAAAGCUAACUUAAAUAGCCAGAUAGCCUUAGUUAACGAGCGUCAAGUGUCGUGAGUAAAGUGCUUUCGCUGGCGAACAAGCUAAAGUAACUUUGUUUUGUGAGGCAGCCUGCCAGAGCAAACAUUACAAUGUGGUAACUGUUAGCACUAGCUCAUGUUAGCCGACGACCUAGGCUAGCUGGCUCGCUGACAUAGCUAGCUCCUGUUAGCUUGUCUGUGACCCUAACCUUCUGCUGUCUGACGUUUUCCUUACCGGCGAACAACACGAAUCAUCCCGAACAACAGGGCAGAAUGAUUGUUGGAGGCCACGAGGUAUAUCUGCUUACCCCUCCCUGGGACAUGGUGUCGCUGCUGGGGGAUCAAUGUCCAUUGAGCAUGGACAAAGAGGGGCAGGCAGGCAGCCAAGCAGCCGGCUGGAGGAAGCCCUCAACCUCAGCUCGAGUGACGCUGUCACCUAAGAGGUCCCAGCAGGCCCUGCAGAGACAGAGAGGGAUGUGCCGCCUGAUGCUGGAGCCAUGUCCUUUCACACGGAAACAUGGGUCAUCGUUCCUCAAAGGUUGAAGAGGACAGAGGCUGAUGAGGCAGCACACGUACUGUAUGAAGGGAGGUAGAGGAUUUGGCUAACAGCAGUCUCAUCCCCACAGAUCAGUUGUCUAGACUGGGCAGGGCCAAAACAAAGUGGGAACACCCUGAAGCUUCCUCGCUUCGGGGAAUACCAGUUCCUGUUCCUUCUAUGACACGAAGUGACACAGCAACCAACUCGCGGACACGUCAAGGUCUAAUUACACCUCAGGUGACAAAACCCUCAUGACGUCCUUUCACUGAAAUGGGAUUUUAUGAAGAUUGAAAGCUGACAAGACAAGUGCUUCCAUUUAAAUCAGUUAGGAUUUGCAUCAAGUCGGUGGGAAGAAGUCAGGAGCGCUGAUUAGAUCCCUGGCUCUUGUUUAGAGAGGGAGGAACAUUGAUUCUGAAUGCACAAGUGUACAGAUACAAUAGUAAGAGUGAAUAUACCAUAUAUGAUA